rnacentral:rRNA from 1 species
AGCUCAGCGCUGAAUCACACGGUGUCAUAACCGUUGUGAACUGUGGCGUAUAGGUGUAACUGCAUCGGCAGCUAUCCGCACACUCAAAGUUCCCUUGAGUGGGGCAACUUCCAUAGAAGGUGCAAGGCCUGUAUGAGUGGCUGGCGGUUGCCGAAAUUGGUUACUGCCUCAGAGUCGAGUUGCCUGGGAACGCAGCUCAAAGUCGGUGGUAAACCUCAUCUAAAGCUAAAUAUGACUUCGAGACCGAUAGCGAACAAGUACCGUGAGGGAAAGUUGAAAAGAACUUCGAAGGAAGAGUUCAAGAGUGCGUGAAACCGCUAGGAGGGAAGCGGAUAGAGUUAACAGCAUGAUGGUGGCAUUCAGCCGAUAGCUGCUACGGGCACUAUGCGUAGUGUUCCCUGGCGAUACCGGGCACUUGUAUAUGUACGUUCGUGUAUGCGAUCGGUGCUUUUGCCAUCAUUGGCGCGCUGAGGCGGUCAGACUGAUGUGUUGAAGUGUGUCGGUAGAGGACUGCGCUGCUCGUCAGUGCAGAAACCUACGAUGCAUCGAGGCAUAUUCGGUGUGAGUGCAGUAAAUGAAAGUUCUACCCGCUGUAGUGCAUGGGCGCAGCUGUGGUCGUAUUGGCAGUUGCCAGUGGCUUAGUCACUGUGCUUCUUGUCCGAGUAUGGCUACGGUUGUGUUGUAUGC